rnacentral:rRNA from 1 species
CCUACGGGGAGCAGCAGUCGAGAAUCAUUCACAAUGGGGGAAACCCUGAUGGUGCGACGCCGCGUGGGGGAAUGAAGGUCUUCGGAUUGUAAACCCCUGUCAUGUGGGAGCAAAUUAAAAAGAUAGUACCACAAGAGGAAGAGACGGCUAACUCUGUGCCAGCAGCCGCGGUAAUACAGAGGUCUAAAGCGUUGUUCGGAAUCACGGGGCGUAAAGCGUGCGUAGGCUGUUUCGUAAGUCGUGUGUGAAAGGCGCGGGCUCAACCCGCGGACGGCACAUGAUACUGCGAGACUAGAGUAAGGGAGGGGGAACCGGAAUUCUCGGUAUAGCAGUGAAAUGCGUAGAUAUCGAGAGGAACACUCGUGGCGAAGGCGGGUUCCUGGACAUUAACUGACGCUGAGGCACGAAGGCCAGGGGAGCGAAAGGGAUUAGAUACCCGGGUAGUC